rnacentral:misc_RNA from 1 species
GUUAGAUAUGUUUCUUGUUAAUUUUUUGUUAUAUGUGCAUUGUAAUAUGCAUUUUGUCAAAUCAGUAUUAUGAAUUUGUGAUAUGAUUUUUGUUUAGACUAAUAUCAUGACAAUUUUAUUUUAAUUCCAAACUGUUUAGGUUACUUAUUGAGCCCUCAUUAUGAAGAUAAUUGAGUUAAUAUGGUCCACCUUGCAAUUACUUUAUAUGUUUCUGAUUAGUGUCCUAGUUCCUCAAUAAUAUCUUGAUGUAUGAGAACAACUGAAUUAAUAUGGUCAGCCUUCCAAACUGUGAGGAUUUUAUAUUAAACAAAUUCAUUGCAGAACGAGUUUCAUUCAUACAUUUAGUUGGUGUGUGUGUGUGUGUGUGUGU